rnacentral:rRNA from 1 species
GAGGGUGGUAAACUCCAUCUAAAGCUAAAUAUUGGCGAGAGACCGAUAGCGAACAAGUACCGUGAGGGAAAGAUGAAAAGCACUUUGGAAAGAGAGUUAAACAGUACGUGAAAUUGCUGAAAGGGAAACGCUUGAAGUCAGUCGCGUUUGCUAGGACUCAGCCUUGCCUCGGCUUGGUGCAUUUCCUAGUAGACGGGCCAGCAUCACUUUUGACUGCGGGAGAAAGGUUGGAGGAAUGUGGCACCCUCGGGUGUGUUAUAGCCUCUAGCUGUAUGCCGUGGUUGGGAGUGAGGAACUCAGCACGCCGCAAGGCGGGGUUUCGGCCACCUUCGUGCUUAGGAUGCUGGCGUAAUGGCUUUAAACGACCCGUCUUAAAACACACGGACAC